UACGUAGGGGCCGAGCGUUGUCCGGAGUUAUUGGGCGUAAAGAGCGCGCAGGCGGUCGAUCAAGUCGAGUGUGAAAGCCCCCGGCUCAACUGGGGAGGGUCAUUCGAUACUGAUCGACUCGAAGGCAGGAGAGGGUAGUGGAAUUCCCGGUGUAGUGGUGAAAUGCGUAGAUAUCGGGAGGAACACCAGUGGCGAAGGCGACUACCUGGCCUGUUCUUGACGCUGAGGCGCGAAAGCUAGGGGAGCAAACGGG
rnacentral:rRNA from 1 species